rnacentral:rRNA from 1 species
GUGCCAGCAGCCGCGGUAAGACGAACCGUGCGAACGUUGUUCGGAAUCACUGGGCUUAAAGGGCGCGUAGGCGGGCCGCCGCGUCCGGGGUGAAAUCCCCCCGCUCAACGGGGGAACGGCCUCGGAUACGGGCGGCCUGGAGGCGGGUAGGGGCACGCGGAACUGUGGGUGGAGCGGUGAAAUGCGUUGAGAUCCACAGGAACUCCGGUGGCGAAGGCGGCGUGCUGGACCCGUCCUGACGCUGAGGCGCGAAAGCCAGGGGAGCGAACGGGAUUAGAUACCCCUGUAGUCC